UUUGUGUGCAAUUGUAAUUUAAUCCAUUUCUUUCAAUUUUGACAAUUUAAGCCUAAUUUCUCCAAUUUUGCUGCAGUUUUAUCCAAGACCCAAAAUUGAUUUAUGGGGAUUGUGUUCUUGUUGACAUGGCACUCCAAGCAGUGUGCCACGUCAAUUGUCAGCAAGAACACACUCCCCUCCCCCAAAAAAUUCUUUGAAUUCAAAGGAUAAAUUAGGAAUUUUUGAGAACAUCUUGCUCUGGUUUUGUAAUUUUCCAAACACCAUGGAAUUUUUAGUAAGUUUCCAAAGUUUUCAGAAAAUAAGCAAAAUUGAAAAGAUCAACCUUUGACUUGCAGGUGGCUUGCUAUGUCAGCAAGAAUACAAUCCCCCUAGAUCGAUUUCCGUAGAUCGAUUUUGGGCUUAGGAUAAAACUGCACCAAUGUGCAGAAAUUAGGCCUAAAUUAACAAAAUUAAAAGGAUUGGAUUAAAUUGCUAUUGUGCACAAAC
rnacentral:misc_RNA from 1 species